rnacentral:rRNA from 1 species
UAACAAGGAUUCCCCUAGUAGCGGCGAGCGAAGCGGGAAAAGCUCAAAUUUGUAAUCUGGCGUCUACGACGUCCGAGUUGUAAUCUCGAGAAGUGUUUUCCGUGAUAGACCGCAUACAAGUCUCUUGGAACAGAGCGUCAUAGUGGUGAGAACCCAGUACACSAUGCGGAUGCCUAUKASUUUGUGAUACACUUUCGAAGAGUCGAGUUGUUUGGGAAUGCAGCUCAAAUUGGGUGGUAAAUUCCAUCUAAAGCUAAAUAUUGGCGAGAGACCGAUAGCGAACAAGUACCGUGAGGGAAAGAUGAAAAGCACUUUGGAAAGAGAGUUAACAGUACGUGAAAUUGUUGGAAGGGAAACACAUGCAGCCAGACUUGCUAUUCGGGGCAACUCGAUUGGCAGGCCCGCAUCAGUUUUUCGGGGCGGAAAAGCAUAGAGAGAAGGUAGCAAUUUCGGUUGUGUUAUAGCUCUUUAUUGGAUUCGCCCUGGGGGACUGAGGAACGCAGCGUGCUUUUAGCAUAAGCUUCGGCUUAUCCACGCUUAGGAUGCGGGUGUAAUGGCUGUAUAUGACCCGUCUUGAAACACGGACCAAGGAGUCUAACAUGCUUGCGAGUAUUUGGGUGUCAAACCCGGAUGCGCAAUGAAAGUGAAUGGAGGUGGGAAGCGCAAGCUGCACCAUCGACCGAUCUGGAUCUUUUGAGAUGGAUUUGAGUAAGAGCAAGUAUGUUGGGACCCGAAAGAUGGUGAACUAUGCCUGAAUAGGGCGAAGCCAGAGGAAACUCUGGUGGAGGCUCGUAGCGGUUCUGACGUGCAAAUCGAUCGUCAAAUUUGGGUAUAGGGGCGAAAGACUAAUCGA